rnacentral:lncRNA from 1 species
GCAGCCAGACUGUCCUCUCUGGGCAGCCAGACUGUCCUCUCUGGGCAGCCAGACUGUCCUCUCUGGGCAGCCAGACUGUCCUCUCUGGGCAGCCAGACUGUCCUCUCUGGGCAGCCAGGUUUGUCUGUGACGACCGGUCUCUAUAGCCAGACUGUCCUCUCUGGGCAGCCAGCCUGUUCUCUCUGGGCAGCCAGGUUUGUCUGUGACGACCGGUCUCUAUAGCCAGACUGUCCUCUCUGGGCAGCCAGGUUGGUCUGUGACGACCGGUCUCUAUAGCCAGACUGUCCUCACUGAGUCUGUAUCUAGUCAGUGUUUUCCUCAGUUUUCUAUCAGUCACAGUGGUCAGAUAGUCUGCCACCAUGUACUGUCUGUUUAGAGACAAACAGCAUUGAAGUUAACUUAGAUUUUUUUGUGGUGUCUUUCCAAUAUUUCUCUUUGUGAUUUGUUUGGGCUCUAUGGGGUUGGUUUGGGUUUGUGAACUGAGCCUCAGAACCAGCUGGCUGAGGGGACUCUUCUCUGGUUUCAUCUCUUGACGUUUGUGGCGGAUGAAUCAGAAUUAGUUGGGUAACAUAGAUAAUUAAGAUGUUUUAUUUGCAAACAUUGUCUUCAUAUGUGAAUGUGUCUUUACCUAUUCUUAAACCAUGUGAAGGGAUGGCGUGAUUAAUGGGGAACCAAUUAUUUGUCUCCACAAUGUCUGCGCGCAAGUCACUCCCCUCAGUGAGCUUGUCCAGGAGUGGGAACAAGAGGGGGUUUGCUUGAGAUGGGAGUAUCUAGAGUUGACAAUUCAUAUAUGCCAUUGGAUGAAAUGGUGUUUUUGUUCUAUGAAGUACCAGGGACGAGAUUAGAACCUCGUCAUUAGGGACCAAACUGAACGAUAAUUUAUAGCGAAUGUUAUCUGGCUGUGGAUACUCCUUUCUAAAGUAUAAGGUCCCUUUGUGAGCCGUUCCUAAGAGCUGUGGUUCGUCAUGUACGUUGAAGGGGUGGUUCUUGGGUAUAAAAGACCUUUGUACUUUUGUGUAAUCACUUUUCAAUGGCAUCAUUGAAGGUCAAAGAUGUAGUUUAACUCGGACUGGUGUGUUUGUAACUCUCCUCAUUUGGUAAUGCAGAAAUUAGCCACCACACAUUGUAGAGCUGUGUGAUGGGACUGUUUUGGGGACAAUUGUUUUAAGAUGGAUUGUAAAAUGUGAUGGCUCUUUUUUUCUAUUGGAAUAAGGAGGGGGCUAUUGGCCCAAUUCUUCUCUACAUUAACAUUUCGGUGUUUUUCUUCGCACUUUGCAAAACUCCGCAUGCAGUAUUUCGACCUGAUGUUUGUCCCAUUUGAUGAAUUAAUUGUUAGAGAGUGGACCCCCGCACUUCACUGCCGUGUAGAGAAAUUGGUUUUAUAACUGAUUGGAACAUUUUGAGCCAGAUUCUAAUUGGAAUUUAUUCUGAUGGCAUAGAACGCUCUUCUUGCUCUGUCUCUCAGCUCCUUCACAGCCAUGUGAAAGCUACCCGUGUUGCUGAUAUUUAGUCCUAGAUAAGUGUAGUUUUUGGUGUGUUCUAAUAGAACUGUGUCCAAAUAGAAUUGAUAUUUGUCAUCCUGAUUUCUGGACCUUUUUUUGGAAUAUCAUUAUA